rnacentral:rRNA from 1 species
UACGUAGGUGGCAAGCGUUAUCCGGAAUUAUUGGGCGUAAAGCGCGCGCAGGUGGUUUCUUAAGUCUGAUGUGAAAGCCCACGGCUCAACCGUGGAGGGUCAUUGGAAACUGGGAGACUUGAGUGCAGAAGAGGAAAGUGGAAUUCCAUGUGUAGCGGUGAAAUGCGUAGAGAUAUGGAGGAACACCAGUGGCGAAGGCGACUUUCUGGUCUGAACUGACACUGAGGCGCGAAAGCGUGGGGAGCAAACAGG